rnacentral:tRNA from 1 species
GCGUCCGUAGCUCAACUGGAUAGAGCGCCAGAUUUCGGCUCUGGAGGUUCAGGGUUCAAAUCCUUGCGGGCGCACCA